AAUCAACGCUGGCGGCGUGCCUCAGACAUGCAAGUCGAACGCGAAAUCCCGAGCAAUCGGGAAAGUAGAGUGGCGCACGGGUGAGUAACACGUAGGUAAUCUACCUUCGGAUGGGGAAUAACAACCGGAAACGGUUGCUAAUACCGCAUAAUGCAGCGGCACCUAAUGGUGACAGUUGUUAAAGCGGGGGAUCGAAAGACCUCGCGUCUGAAGAGGAGCCUGCGGCGGAUUAGCUAGUUGGUAAGGUAACGGCUUACCAAGGCGACGAUCCGUAGCCGGCCUGAGAGGGCGGUCGGCCACACUGACACUGACAUACGGGUCAGACUCCUACGGGAGGGCAGCAGUCGGGAAUUUUGGGUCAAUGGGCGAAAGCCUGACCCAGCAACGCCGCGUGAAGGAUGAAAUCCCUCGGGAUGUAAACUUCGCAAGAACGGGAAGAAUAAGACGAUAGUUAAUAUCUGUCGUGAUGACGGUACCGUUUGUAAG
rnacentral:rRNA from 1 species